rnacentral:rRNA from 1 species
GAGACAGCAGUCGCCGCGGGAAUACAGAGGGUGCGAGCGUUAAUCGGAUUUACUGGGCGUAAAGCGUGCGUAGGCGGCUAAUUGAGUCGGAUGUGAAAUCCUCGAGCUUAACUUGGGAAUUGCAUUCGAUACUGGUUAGCUAGAGUGUGGGAGAGGAUGGUAGAAUUCCAGGUGUAGCGGUGAAAUGCGUAGAGAUCUGGAGGAAUACCGAUGGCGAAGGCAGCCAUCUGGCCUAACACUGACGCUGAGGUACGAAAGCAUGGGGAGCAAACAGGAUUAGAUACCCCCGUAGUCCCUGUCUCUUAUAC